rnacentral:rRNA from 1 species
AUUGAACGCUAGCGGGAUGCCUUACACAUGCAAGUCGAACGGAGUGGCGAACGGGUGAGUAAUGUAUCGGAACGUGCCCAGUAGCGGGGGAUAACUACGCGACAGCGUAGCUAAUCCCGCAUACUAUUGGAGCGGCCGCUAUCGGAUUAGCUAGGUGGUGGGGUAACGACUCACCAAGGCGACGCUCCGUAGCUGGUUUGAGAGGACGACCAGCCACACUGGUAAUGAGACAAGGCCCAGACGCCUACGGGAGGAAGCAGUGGGGAAGUUUGGACAAGGGGGGAAACCCUGAUCCAGCCAUCCCGCGUGUGCGAUGAAGGCCUUCGGGUUGUAAAGCACUUUUGGCAGGAAAGCGGUACCUGCAGAAUAAGCACCGGCUAACUACGUGCCAGCAGCCGCGGUAAUAC